rnacentral:misc_RNA from 1 species
CCAGAAGAGACCCUAACCGGUCCUCUCAAACCCUGCCCAUCGUACCCUUUGUGUUGUUCCCCUCGGCGAGGCUCGCGGGCCCCGCCGGCGGGAAGAUCAACGAAACCCUUUGCAAGCAAGCAUCCUGAAAUCUCUGAUCGAAUACAAAUAGUCA